rnacentral:rRNA from 1 species
ACGAACGCUGGCGGCGUGCUUAACCCAUGCAAGUCGAACGGUGAAGCCCUUCGGGGUGGCUCAGUGGCGAACGGGUGAGUAACACGUGAGCAACCUGCCCCUGGCUCUGGGACAACCACUGGAAACGGUGGCUAAUACCGGAUACGACCCGCCUCGGCAUCGAGUGUGGGUGGAAAGUUUUUCGGCUGGGGAUGGGCUCGCGGCCUAUCAGCUUGUUGGUGAGGUGAAGGCUCACCAAGGCGACGACGGGUAGCCGGCCUGAGAGGGCGACCGGCCACACUGGGACUGAGACACGGCCCAGACUCCUACGGGAGGCAGCAGUGGGGAAUAUUGCACAAUGGGCGAAAGCCUGAUGCAGCGACGCCGCGUGAGGGAUGACGGCCUUCGGGUUGUAAACCUCUUUCAGCUCCGAAGAAGCGAAAGUGACGGUAGGAGCAGAAGAAGCACCGGCUAACUACGUG